UUAAAUGGUACGUAAUGGUACGUAAUCUCCAAAAAUGGUGCGUAAAAUCCUGGUACGUUUCCGCCAUGGUACGUAACCAUUAGUAUACUUAAUCAUUUGUUGACAUAAAAAUAAUAAACUCACCAAAAACUACGUUUUCGUACGUCCCUAACUCUAAUUAUGUUAAUGAUAAGGGACAAACAUACAACAUGUAACAAUGCUUACCUUCCUCAUCAUAAAAACUCCUUUUGAAGUUUAUUAUAUAUCCGACACAAAAGCUUUUUUUCUACCAUCCCGCCUACAGAAUAUGCCCUCUCCUGGCAAUGACAGUUGAUGACGCAAAAAAGUGGACGACUUCAUUUUUCAAGCACUUGAAGGGGUGUUCAGUCUAAUUACAAUUUGUUUACAACCGUUUAAAUGAUAUUUCUUAUAAAUUAACAUUUUAAUUAUUCACAACCGAUCGAUAUGAUAAUUUAAUUAUUUUAUAAAAGAAUAGUACUGUCACGAAAAUUGUGGCUUAUGUACCGAGUACCUGACUCCCCCGUGUAAGCGUAUCGACUUUACCGUUUCCGCCGAAACAGCGGGUGCCUGUGUACUGUAGUUUAAUUACACGCAAAGCUGCUGUUAAACGGGUAAAUAGACGUGAUGUCAUUUCAAAAUUACUGUAUACAUGCGGGUUGUUUCUUCAAGACAUGGGUUUAAUCCAGUAAACUACUUGUAAGCAAGAUAAACAGGUACAGAAUAUGAAAGAGAAGACUGGUGAUGAUAACAAGACAAAAAAAGAAAAUAUGUUGUUGUUGUCAAGAAGAUUUUUUCCUGUUCCUCGCAGAAGGGCAGAAACAUACUUGGAUGGAAAAUGUGCAUAAUUUUUGCAUAAGUUUUGUUGACACUUCCAAUUGAUAAUGAAGAAUGCUGCGAAAUAUUGUUUGUUACAAUAUCUGAAUGACUGUAAGAUAUGUUGAGUGAUUGGUAUUCACACAGGUGCUGUUUUAGUGCAAAACAAUACAAGCAAAUGUUGAAUGAACAAACAAGAUUGUGCCAUACCAUAAGGGAGCAGUAUGUUCAGGAUAUUCUAUUUGUAUAAACCCAACGCAACUACAGAUGUAAUGUGGAUAUAUACUAGAAUCAGAUUGUCUGUCUGUCUGUUUGUCUACCCAUUGGAGAUAUUGAAUUAACUUAAUAGAUAGAUCAUGUAUGUUAUUGUUGUGGAAUGUAGUUCCUAGCAACUAUAUCUCUAUUGCCUGUUGAAAAGAAGAUUGUGUUUAAUAGAUGAAACUGGCUAGGUGUUACUAUUUCAGCAUUUUAAGUAUGAUGUUAGAUCAUAUUACAUGUACGUCAAAUUUAUAUGCCCAUUUGAAAAACAAGACAUACAAUGGGAACCUCAGGUUGGCAGGCAUUGUCAAAUUAUGUAAGCAUUAUAUUUUGGAUGUCACAAACCAAAAUCAAGGAGUAAAUGACUUCCAAACUUCCACUAACAGAAGCCCUGCCCAUGCAGGGUUUUAAUGAAACUAUCACCU